UUCAAGCCAUGGACGCUAAGAACUCCAAACCUGAUGCAGCCAAGAAUUCCGGUACGAGCGGUGGUUCCGGUAGCGUUUCCGAUGUGGGUAAAACAAUGGUUGCACUAAGAAGUUCUUUGAUGAUCUUCACACCAAAGAGAAGAAGUGAAGAAAUAAAAUGAUCAAAGUAAAAUUAUCUUCUUUCUUAUUUUCUUCUUGUUUGUGACCAUCCUCCAGUUCACUAAUGAAGUGGAGUACAAUUAUUAACUAUCAAUAAAUAAGAUUCACAAUUUCUGAACUAUUUUUUGCUUUUUUUUUUCUAGUGAUUUUCUUUUGUCCACACAAUAGAGUAAUUAAUAGACAUAUAUCUUGAUUAUAGUGUAUAAUAGCAAAUUAAAGAUACAAACCACGUGGAAGUAAUUAGAAUAAGUACUUAACCACAAAUUACAAUUAACCGGUAAAAAAAAGAAGAAGACAAACAGUAUCCUAACAAAGAACAUAAACUGAUGAUCACUUUGGUCAUAUCAUCAUCUGACAACACAUCAAAUGAUGAAACGCCAAAUGCAUAUACAUCAGACGCCAAACGCAAAUUCUCUAGCAAAAGUGUUUUAAACGAAGUGCUUUUUUGUAUAGCAUCAUGAGCAAUCAGCCUUGGAAACUCAAUUUGUUGUUUUCUCAGUAGACUGACUGCUCGUGAUAUUAUAUCAAAACAUCUCUCUAACGUUGGAAUUCCACGUGGCAUUAACCCAUUUGGCUCAGUGGAAACCGGCGGAUCCGAGUGCCGGAGCCCAGUAGUCGGCGCCGUUGUCGCUGCCUACUUGGAGUGUGCAUGAGAUUGGAACAAGACAUAAACCUCGACUUCUCAGAUCUUUCUUAGGUUCUUCACUUGCAUUUUGAGUGUCGGUUGACGAAGACGCUCCUCUUCUCUUCAUGCACUGAUCAUUCACGAG
rnacentral:lncRNA from 1 species